CAGCCGCCGCGGGAAUACAGAGGGUGCGAGCGUUAAUCGGAUUUACUGGGCGUAAAGCGUGCGUAGGCGGCUUCUUAAGUCGGAUGUGAAAUCCCUGAGCUUAACUUAGGAAUUGCAUUCGAUACUGGGAAGCUAGAGUAUGGGAGAGGAUGGUAGAAUUCCAGGUGUAGCGGUGAAAUGCGUAGAGAUCUGGAGGAAUACCGAUGGCGAAGGCAGCCAUCUGGCCUAAUACUGACGCUGAGGUACGAAAGCAUGGGGAGCAAACAGGAUUAGAUACCCCCAGUAGUCCCUGUCUCUUAUU
rnacentral:rRNA from 1 species